GAUGAACGCUGGCGGCGUGCCUAAUACAUGCAAGUCGAGCGAACGGACGAGAAGCUUGCUUCUCUGAUGUUAGCGGCGGACGGGUGAGUAACACGUGGAUAACCUACCUAUAAGACUGGGAUAACUUCGGGAAACCGGAGCUAAUACCGGAUAAUAUUUUGAACCGCAUGGUUCAAAGGUGAAAGACGGUCUUGCUGUCACUUAUAGAUGGAUCCGCGCUGCAUUAGCUAGUUGGUAAGGUAACGGCUUACCAAGGCAACGAUGCAUAGCCGACCUGAGAGGGUGAUCGGCCACACUGGAACUGAGACACGGUCCAGACUCCUACGGGAGGCAGCAGUAGGGAAUCUUCCGCAAUGGGCGAAAGCCUGACGGAGCAACGCCGCGUGAGUGAUGAAGGUCUUCGGAUCGUAAAACUCUGUUAUUAGGGAAGAACAUAUGUGUAAGUAACUGUGCACAUCUGGACGGUACCUAAUCAGAAAGCCACGGCUAACUACGG
rnacentral:rRNA from 1 species